rnacentral:rRNA from 1 species
CCUACGGGGUGCAGCAGUGAGGAAUAUUGGUCAAUGGACGGAAGUCUGAACCAGCCAUGCCGCGUGCAGGAUGACGGCUCUAUGAGUUGUAAACUGCUUUUGUACGAGAAUAAUAGUUCUUACGUGUAGGGUUUUGAAAGUACGGUACGAAUAAGGAUCGGCUAACUCCGUGCCAGCAGCCGCGGUAAUACGGAGGAUCCGAGCGUUAUCCGGAUUCAUUGGGUUUAAAGGGUGCGUAGGUUGUUUUAUAAGUUAGCGGUGAAAUACCGAUGCUCAACAUCGGGGCUGCCGCUAAUACUGUAGGACUAGAGAUCGGAUGCAGCAGGCGGAAUGUGUAGUGUAGCGGUGAAAUGCAUAGAUAUUACACAGAACACCGAUUGCGAAGGCAGCUUGCUAGGCCGGAUCUGACACUGAUGCACGAAAGCGUGGGGAUCGAACAGGAUUAGAUACCCCUUAGUC